GCCACCUCUCCCGGCCGGCAGAAAAGGCGCUUCCUUGGGUUUUUCCUUCUCUUUUCUUCGUAUCACGGAUGGCUACGCAGUGGUUCCUGCUUUUUCAGCCACUGCGACUGGUUUGUACCGUGACUUUAAAAGACGCCAGCCCAUCCUAGAUACAGCUGGUUGGAUUCCCGGACCCUGAGUGUGACACAACAAUUCUUCCUUCCUCUGCAUGGCCCAACACCUGGCCUGUGGUUGGUGGGGACCGGGACUGAAACUUUUAAUCCCCUCUGUAUCCUUGUGUUUCUGGACAAUGUUAUCUGAGUUUGUAAGAAUGCCUCCUCUGUCCUGACGGUUUGGGAUGCAGUUCCAAUCCUGGUCACAGACCAUCUCAAGAGCCUGCUGAGCUCAGAGCGUCUCUACCCUGACAAAUUUAGGAGGUGUCAAUUAUUAUAUUAGUUUUUAUCAUAAGAUUUUUAAGAAGCUUGUUUUAAAAUUGGUGUAAGUGAUUCCUCUGCAGUUAGAGCUGGGCACCAGCCAUGCCUUGGCUCUCUCUGGAUGGGAACUGCCUGUUUGCCCAGAUCUUUUAGCAAAAAAAUACAUACGAGUUGACUCAGCAAUUUGACUAUUAAAUAUAAUAACUGAAUUGAUCUUUGAGGUGAACCUGGAAUUCCUGCCCAGGAAGGAUGAACAGGUUGUCACUGGAAAAGAAGCACUUCCGCUUUUGCAGUUUCUGGGCUGAUGAAAAUUAUUAUCAAAAAGAUAACUUGCAACAAUGUAACAUUUAUGUUAUGAAUCUGAGGAAAAAAUAAUUAUGAAACCUGGAUGUUGAAUUUAGACAUUGGAGUCUGACAAGUUAUCAGUUUAGGGCAGUGGAGUCUGACAAGUUUGUUAACUUAAGGAGAAGAUGUGCCUGUUUUAUCAUUAGCAGGUUCAGCAGUCGUGUUACCCAUCACCUUUGAGGAGUGAAAAGGGACAUUGCAUAGCCUUAGUGGCUGUCACAUAGAGUGCAACAAGAUGACCAUGUGGUUGGAAGUUAUGGAGACAACAAAAGUCCUGUGUCAGCAGCAUGGUCGUGGUUUCCUCAAUCUUCUUCCAGUCAAUCCCUGCUUCAGACUUCAAGAAGACAUCCAGUGAUGCCAAGGAUCAAUAUCUUGGCUCAAUGGACCCUUUCCUUUUCAUGUGUUUUAAUUUUAUAGUAGAUGUUGCUUCAUUUAAGUUU